rnacentral:rRNA from 1 species
CAGCAGCCACGGUAAUACGAAGGGUGCAAGCGUUACUCGGAAUUGCUGGGCGUAAAGCGUGCGUAGGUGGUGGUUUAAGUCCGUUGUGAAAGCCCUGGGCUCAACCUGGGAAUUGCAGUGGAUACUGGGUCACUAGAGUGUGGUAGAGGAUAGUGGAAUUUCCGGUGUAGCAGUGAAAUGCGUAGAGAUCGGAAGGAACAUCUGUGGCGAAGGCGACUAUCUGGGCCAACACUGACACUGAGGCACGAAAGCGUGGGGAGCAAACAGGAUUAGAUACCCCCGUAGUCCCUGUCUCUUAUAC